rnacentral:rRNA from 1 species
UUUCAAGUCUUUAAGAGCAAACGGUGGAUGCCUUGGCAUCUGGAGCCGAAGAAGGACGUAGCAAUCUGCGAUAAGCCUCGGGGAACUGAUAAGCGAGUUUUGAUCCGAGGGUGUCCGAAUGGGGAAACCCCGCCAGGGCGCGUGCGUACCUGGUGACUCCCGCCUGAAUAUAUAGGGCGGGUAGAGGGAACGUGGGGAAGUGAAACAUCUCAGUACCCACAGGAAGAGAAAGCAACAGCGAUUCCGUGAGUAGUGGCGAGCGAAAUCGGAAGAGGCUAAACCUAGCGUGUGUGAUAGCCGGCAGGCGUUGCAUGUUGGGGGUUGUGGGACUUUUCGGAUUGUUCUGCCGAGCAGUCGACGUGACAAGAGGGUAUAGACGAACGGUUUUGAAUGGCCGGUCAUAGAGGGUGCGAACCCCGUAGUCGAAAUGCUUGUUCUUGGCGUGAAGAGUAUCCCAAGUAGCACGGGGCCCGAGAAAUCCCGUGUGAAUCUGUCAGGACCACCUGAUAAGCCUAAAUACUCCCAGAUGACCGAUAGCGGACAAGUACCGUGAGGGAAAGGUGAAAAGUACCCCGGGAGGGGAGUGAAAUAGUACCUGAAACCGUUUGCUUACAAACCGUUGGAGCCUCCUUAGUAGGGGUGACAGCGUGCCUUUUGAAGAAUGAGCCUGCGAGUUAGCGAUACGUGGCGAGGUUAACCCGUGUGGGGUAGCCGUAGCGAAAGCGAGUCUGAAUAGGGCGAUUCAGUCGCGUGUCCUAGACCCGAAGCGAAGUGAUCUAUCCAUGGCCAGGUUGAAGCGACGGUAAGACGUCGUGGAGGACCGAACCCACUUAGGUUGAAAACUGAGGGGAUGAGCUGUGGAUAGGGGUGAAAGGCCAAUCAAACUUCGUGAUAGCUGGUUCUCUCCGAAAUGCAUUUAGGUGCAGCGUUGCGUGUUUCUUGCCGGAGGUAGAGCUACUGGAUGGCCGAUGGGCCCUACAAGGUUACUGACGUCAGCCAAACUCCGAAUGCCGGUAAGUGAGAGCGCAGCAGUGAGACUGUGGGGGAUAAGCUUCAUAGUCGAGAGGGAAACAACCCAGACCACCAACUAAGGUCCCUAAGCGCGUGCUAAGUGGGAAAGGAUGUGGAGUUGCUUUGACAACCAGGAGGUUGGCUUAGAAGCAGCCACCCUUGAAAGAGUGCGUAAUAGCUCACUGGUCAAGUGAUUCCGCGCCGACAAUGUAACGGGGCUCAAGCACGCCACCGAAGUUGUGGCAUUGACAUUUUUGGUAGGCCUUCGUGGUCCAGCCGUGUUGAUGGGUAGGAGAGCGUCGUGUGGCGAGUGAAGCGGCGGGGUGACCCAGCCGUGGACGCUACACGAGUGAGAAUGCAGGCAUGAGUAGCGAAAGACGUGUGAGAAACACGUCCUCCGAAAGACCAAGGGUUCCAGGGUCAAGCUAAUCUUCCCUGGGUAAGUCGGGACCUAAGGCGAGGCCGACAGGCGUAGUCGAUGGACAACGGGUUGAUAUUCCCGUACCGGCGAAGAACCGCCCAAGCUAAUCCAGUGGUGCUAAGAGUCCUAGCUCACGCUUNNNNNNNNNNNNNNNNNNNNNNNNNNNNNNNNNNNNNNNNNNNNNNNNNNNNNNNNNNNNNNNNNNNNNNNNNNNNNNNNNNNNNNNNNNNNNNNNNNNNCGGGGUGAGGCGGGUGUGUGUGAACGCUCGACCCCAUGCUGGUGCGGCUAGCGUAUUAACAGGUGUGACGCAGGAAGGUAGCCCAAGCCAGGCGAUGGUAGUCCUGGUGCAAGUGCGUAGGCCGACUCUUAGGCAAAUCCGGGAGUCAUGAGGCUGAGACACGAUGCGGAUAAAAAGUGGGUGAUCCUAUGCUGCCGAGAAAAGCAUCGACGCGAGGUUCAAGCCGCCCGUACCCCAAACCGACUCAGGUGGUCAGGUAGAGAAUACCAAGGAGAUCGAGAGAAUCGUGGUUAAGGAACUCGGCAAAAUGCCCCCGUAACUUCGGGAGAAGGGGGGCCAUCCACUUAUUAGGACUUGCUCCGAAAGGGUGUGGUGGCCGCAGAGACUAGUGGGUAGCGACUGUUUACUAAAAACACAGGUCCGUGCCAAGUCGCAAGACGAUGUAUACGGACUGACGCCUGCCCGGUGCUGGAAGGUUAAGAGGACCGGUUAGCCGCAAGGCGAAGCUGAGAAUUUAAGCCCCAGUAAACGGCGGUGGUAACUAUAACCAUCCUAAGGUAGCGAAAUUCCUUGUCGGGUAAGUUCCGACCUGCACGAAUGGCGUAACGACUUCCCAACUGUCUCAACCGCGAACUCGGCGAAAUUGCAUUACGAGUAAAGAUGCUCGUUACGCGCAGCAGGACGGAAAGACCCCGUGACCUUUACUACAGCUUGGUAUUGGUGUUCGGUGUGGCUUGUGUAGGAUAGGUGGGAGACGGUGAAGCAUUCACGCCAGUGAGUGUGGAGUCAUUGUUGAAAUACCACUCUGGUCACUCUGGAUAUCUAACUUAGGACCGUGAUCCGGUUCAGGGACAGUGCCUGGUGGGUAGUUUAACUGGGGCGGUUGCCUCCCAAAAUGUAACGGAGGCGCCCAAAGGUUCCCUCAACCUGGUUGGCAAUCAGGUGGCGAGUGUAAGUGCACAAGGGAGCUUGACUGUGAGACUGACAGGUCGAGCAGGGACGAAAGUCGGGACUAGUGAUCCGGCAGUGGCUUGUGGAAGCGCUGUCGCUCAACGGAUAAAAGGUACCUCGGGGAUAACAGGCUGAUCUUGCCCAAGAGUCCAUAUCGACGGCAUGGUUUGGCACCUCGAUGUCGGCUCGUCGCAUCCUGGGGCUGGAGUAGGUCCCAAGGGUUGGGCUGUUCGCCCAUUAAAGCGGUACGCGAGCUGGGUUUAGAACGUCGUGAGACAGUUCGGUCCCUAUCCGCUGCGCGCGUAGGAAGUUUGAGAGGAUCUGACCCUAGUACGAGAGGACCGGGUUGGACGAACCUCUGGUGUGUCAGUUGUUCCGCCAGGAGCACCGCUGAUUAGCUACGUUCGGGAUGGAUAACCGCUGAAAGCAUCUAAGCGGGAAGCCGGCCUCAAGAUGAGACUUCCAU